AGAGUUUGAUCCUGGCUCAGGACGAACGCUGGCGGCGUGCCUAAUGCAUGCAAGUCGAGCGGGCUACGAUCUUCGGAUUGUAGCUUAGCGGCGAACGGGUGAGUAACACGUAGGUAAUCUACCCUUCAGAGGAGGACAACCUCAGGAAACUGAGGCUAAACCUUCAUACGUUCACUGGUAGGGAUACUGGUGAAGAAAGAGUUACCUUAGUGGUAGCUGCUGAAGGAUGAGCCUGCGGCCCAUCAGGUAGUUGGUGAGGUAACGGCUCACCAAGCCGAAGACGGGUAACCGGUCUGAGAGGAUGUCCGGUCACACUGGGACUGAGACACGGCCCAGACUCCUACGGGAGGCAGCAGCAGGGAAUCUUGGGCAAUGGGCGAAAGCCUGACCCAGCGACGCCGCGUGGAGGAAGAAGUCCUUCGGGGCGUAAACUCCUGGACUGGGGGACGAGGAAGGACGGUACCCCAGUAGAAAGGGACGGCUAACUACGUGCCAGCAGCCGCGGUAAAACGUAGGUCCCGAGCGUUGUUCGGAUUCACUGGGUGUAAAGGGCGCGUAGGUGGUUGUCUGUGUCUCAUGUGAAAACUCAGGGCUCAACUCUGAGAUUGCGUGGGAAACUAGGCAGCUAGAGGACGGUAGAGGGGAGUGGAAUUCCCGGUGUAGCGGUAAAAUGCGUAGAUAUCGGGAGGAACACCGGUGGCGAAGGCGGCUCUCUGGGCCGAUCCUGACGCUGAGGCGCGAAAGCUAGGGGAGCGAACCGGAUUAGAUACCCGGGUAGUCCUAGCCGUAAACGAUGGGUGCUAGGUGUUG
rnacentral:rRNA from 1 species